AACUGAUACUACCUGCGGGAACCUGCGGAGGGAUCAUUACAGUGCUCGUCGGUACGUCGCGUCUCCGGGCGUCGGCGCACCGCACCUGCCCCACCCGUGUCUACCUUUCUUCUGUUGCUUCGGCGGGCCCGCCCCCGAGCGUACCCACGCGCUGGGUGCGUCCGGCGGCGGACCGGGGGUUUUUCACCCCUGGCCAGCGCCCGUCAGAGGACCCCUUGAACCCUUUGUGAAUGUACGGCA
rnacentral:misc_RNA from 1 species